rnacentral:lncRNA from 1 species
AAGAAAUCAAAAUCUAAAACUGAAUCAAGAGAAACAAGAAGGUCUGGCAUGUAAUUCAAAUAUGAGUUGCACAGACGAAAUAGAUCAAUCCAUAAAAACGAAAAGAAAAAAAAUCGUGAACAUCAAGAGAGGACAGAGGCAUACCGUGAACAGGAAAUUGAAGGGUCGUCGGAGCAGCUUCGGUGAGGAGCGUUAUCGGAGCGCAACUGGAAUGAAGAUUGAAGGAGGUUCGUCGAAGCUUAAAUAGGCUCGACAGAUCGAGGGUGGCCUGAUUUUGGGAGAAUCGGCCAUGCCUCUGUCUUCCUGCAGGCGCGUCGACGUCUGCUCGACGAAUCAGGAACCGGAUGGGUUUUCCCCCAGAUCGGUAUGGCCUCUGAGAGUGUUCGCGGAUCGUCCUCUCUUGGCAUCCUAUCGUCGCAGCAAUCCGUCCCGGGGAACACCACGCGCGGCCGUGCACUGACGAAUUUUUGACGCAAAACGAAUAUUGUCAGCAACGUACGGGGAAAAUUCGUCAGGAGUACCCAUACCUCUCACUGUUACCUUGUGGAUCCGCGCCAAUUCGAAUUGCCAAUGACGUUCACCUCCCCGCGUACGUGAGGUACUCGACGAGGACCGUGGGAUGACGGAGCACGACCAUCGCGCGGAGCAUCCGCAUUAAUACGUCAAUGAGGACGAGUGCAUGGAAAAUGUGGUGUUUUUAAAUAUGAACACAAGACAAAACACGAUAGAUUAAAAGUCAUUUAAACUUCUGGAGACAAUUUACAUUGAUGCUUAAUGAAUAAGAUCAUUUAUGGUCUUAAACAAGCAUCUAAGUCUUGGUAUUCCAGACUAAGUGUUUUUCUGAUUUUAAAUGAUUUUAAAAAUAAUCUGCCAGACACAU